UAUGGGCCAAAAAUGAUGUAAGACUGCUAGUAUGAGGUCAUAUGUUGCACUAGUCAUGUUUCCAGCAAGGGUUAUUGGAGCUCAAUAUGUUCUUGGAUAGGUAGGUAUUGUCAAUAAAUGGUCAUAAAGAUAUUGUCAACCACCAAAGAGGCCAUAUCGUAGACUUCUCAAUGUGGUAUGGACAUAUAAUAACUCCAGCAUCUAUAUAUAAUAAAGCAACAAAGUUUACCGCCACAAAAUUUGAAGCAGCCCAGAAACCAACAAUAGCAGCAAUUCCCAACCCAAUUACAGCAAUCCGGUCUUCAGGGUUGUCCCA
rnacentral:misc_RNA from 1 species